UCCUCGAGGAACCUUGCAAGAUUGGCUUGCGCUAAAGUGCAAUAUUCCACCGGUACAACGAAACGGUUUCGCGGUAGCAACUUACUCGUAUAUAUCUCGACGUUAUUCGCGCUAUUCUCGACAAGCUUUCUCACGCUAGUCCUGCGCGAGGGAGGCAUGUUGUCGAGCGCGAGACUUGCACGCUCACAGAUCAAACAAGUGUAAAGAGGCAGCGGGAGAAAGAUUCGCUGCACAUUCACGCCGCCGCGCGUCCUGUCGCCCCUCAUCAAACACCCUCGGGUUCGACGCGCGCGGAUGGAAGAUCCUUAUCUCGAAUCAAAGAUGCAAAAUCUCAAGAGGAAGGCCUUCUCUCAGACAUGCCUGAAUAGAAAGAAGAAAAAGAGAAGGUGAUUCUAACAAAGGAUUUAAAGUCAUUUGCGUCUCGUUAAAACUUAGUCGCAACUCUAGUUAAGAGUUAGAUUUGUCUUGACUUGUCCCUCAUUUGAAGUAGAUGCGCUCUUCAAGCGCAAUCUACCGGAUAAAAUGGCAUCUUCUAAAACUAUUUAAACAAAGGUACUUUACUUGAUUCUCCUCAAUCAUGCACUGAUCUUGU